ACACGAGUGCUGCGAGUUCGCGAUCUUCAACGUCUCUUGCCACGAUCGUAAUGCUCUCACGAUCGCCUGCAUUUUGGAUCUGUUCACCAAAGAAACUCGUGAAGAUUAGCGCGGAAAUUGACCUAGAAUCUGGAUUGGACUGUGAUAGGAAGCUCCGUUGAUGAUGAACAUAAGGUUGUAAUGGUAGCACCGUGUUGAACUAUAAUUCUAAGGAUGAAUUUAUUCGGGUAAGGUCGGGUUUAUUUUGAGAAAAAAAUAUUUUUAAGUGAAAAAAAAAAAAAAAAAAGCGUUGGCUUUUCGUCAAAUCACUUUAACGAAUAACAUUACAA